AAUCCAUUGAACUCACAAAUUUAUCAUAUUGGGACGAAGCCUUUAACUCUCCAUUUAUUUCUUUCGUUUUUUCAAGUCUCAAACAUUACCGUCUUCAGGUAUACACAUACAGUACUUGACAUAAAUUAACUCUUAUAGAAGUUCUAUCAAUACGGGCUUAUAAGAGUUAAUUAACUUUGUGAAAAGCCAAACAUAUUGGUGAGCCCUCGCUGCCAUUUUACAGGCUCAUAGGGGCGAUAGAUGGUUUGUGACUUGAUCCUUCUCCUUCGAAGACGCUCUGCAAUGAUAAAAGCCAGCUCUAGAGAUUGCGAAGCAUUGAGCCUAGGGUCACAG
rnacentral:misc_RNA from 1 species